ACUGCUCAGUAACACGUGGAUAACCUACCCAAGAGUCCGGGAUAACCCCGGGAAACUGGGGAUAAUACCGGAUAGGUCAGACUUGCUGGAAGGCUGUUUGGCUGAAACUUCCGGGGCUUUUGGAUGGGUCUGCGGCUGAUUAGGUUGUUGCCGGUGUAACGUACCGUCAAGCCUGUAAUCAGUACGGGUUGUGGGAGCAAGAGCCCGGAGAUGGAUUCUGAGACACGAAUCCAGGCCCUACGGGGCGCAGCAGGCGCGAAAACUCUACAAUGCAGGCAACUGCGAUAGGGGAACAUCGAGUGAUCCUCAUAUUGGGGGUCUGUCCACCCGCCUAAAAAGCGGGUGUUAGCAAGGGCCGGGCAAGACCGGUGCCAGCCGCCGCGGUAAUACCGGCGGCUCGAGUGGUGGCCGAUAUUAUUGAGUCUAAAGGGUCCGUAGCCGGCUUUGCAAGUCUCUCGGGAAAUCCAGCGGCUUAACCGUUGGUCGUCCGGGGGGUACUACAUUGCUUGGGACUGGGAGAGGUAGGAGGUACUCAGGGGGUAGGAGUGAAAUCCUGUAAUCCUUUGGGGACCACCGGUGGCGAAGGCGUCCUACCAGAACAGGUCCGACGGUGAGGGACGAAAGCUAGGGGCACGAACCGGAUUAGAUACCCGGGUAGUCCUAGCCGUAAACGAUGCUCGCUAGGUGUCACAACAGUCGUGAACUGUUGUGGUGCCGUAGGGAAGCCGUGAAGCGAGCCACUUGGGAAGUACGACCGCAAGGUUGAAACUUAAAGGAAUUGGCGGGGGAGCAC
rnacentral:rRNA from 1 species